GAUGAACGCUAGCUACAGGCUUAACACAUGCAAGUCGCGGGGCAGCAUGGGGGUUGCUUGCAAUCCCCGAUGGCGACCGGCGCACGGGUGAGUAACGCGUAUCCAACCUGCCCUUCACCACGGGAUAACCCGGCGAAAGUCGGACUAAUACCGUAUGCUGUCCAUUGACGGCAUCCGAUUUGGACGAAAGGUUUGGCGGUGAAGGAUGGGGAUGCGUCCGAUUAGCUGGACGGCGGGGUGACGGCCCACCGUGGCGACGAUCGGUAGGGGUUCUGAGAGGAAGGUCCCCCACACUGGAACUGAGACACGGUCCAGACUCCUACGGGAGGCAGCAGUGAGGAAUAUUGGUCAAUGGGCGUAAGCCUGAACCAGCCAAGUAGCGUGCAGGAUGACGGCCCUAUGGGUUGUAAACUGCUUUUAUGCGGGGAUAAAGUGGCCCACGUGUGGGUUUUUGCAGGUACCGCAUGAAUAAGAACCGGCUAAUUCCGUG
rnacentral:rRNA from 1 species